UACGUAGGUGGCAAGCGUUGUCCGGAAUUAUUGGGCGUAAAGCGCGCGCAGGUGGUUUCUUAAGUCUGAUGUGAAAGCCCACGGCUCAACCGUGGAGGGUCAUUGGAAACUGGGGAACUUGAGUGCAGGAGAGAAGAGUGGAAUUCCACGUGUAGCGGUGAAAUGCGUAGAGAUGUGGAGGAACACCAGUGGCGAAGGCGGCGCUCUGGGCCGGUACUGACACUGAGGAGCGAAAGCGUGGGUAGCAAACAGG
rnacentral:rRNA from 1 species